AAAAACAUCGCCUCUUGUGAAUCAUAAGAGGUCCCGCCUGCCCAGUGACAAGUUCAACGGCCGCGGUAUCCUGACCGUGCGAAGGUAGCAUAAUCACUUGUUCUUUAAAUAGGGACUUGUAUCAACGGCACCACGAGGGUUAUACUGUCUCCUCCCUCCAAUCAGUGAAUCUGAUCUCCCCGUGAAGAAGCUGGGAUAUUAAUAUAAGACGAGAAGACCCCAUGGAGCUUCAAACUCAACAACAUCUUCUUCCACUUAAACCAACAAAACUAAGAAGAACUGUCUGUUAGUUUUAGGUUGGGGUGACCGCGGAGAACAAUUAAACCUCCACAACGAAUGGGCCCGCCCUAAUCCAAGAGCUACCGCUCUAAGAAUCAACAAAUUGACGUACUCUGAUCCGAUAUUCGAUCAACGAACCAAGUUACCCUGGGGAUAACAGCGCAAUCCAUUUCAAGAGCCCCUAUCGACAAAUGGGUUUACGACCUCGAUGUUGGAUCAGGGUACCCCAGUGGUGCAGCC
rnacentral:rRNA from 1 species